CCCAGGGCGCUCCCUGAUCAGUUUCCUCUGUAGUUCACUCCCUUCUGACGCUGGCUUCAGGCCGCGGCCCUGGGAGGAUGGGCCUGUGUGUGUGUGUGUGUUUCCCCUGAUCCCAAAAGCACAGGGUGUGAAGCUUCCUGGCAGCAACAGGCUGAUUUGGCUCCUCGGAGACAGGACGGAAACCUCCAGCCGCGAUGACCCGGUCCAGGUCCCCGCAAGCACGGGUCCUGCCUUUCACGUGGCCGGAAGCCAUGCCCUGCGUCUGGUGCCGGAGUUGGAGGAGGUGGAGAAAAUGAAGCCCCCGCUGGGCUGCGCUCAGUCUGGAGCAGAUGACCACCCCCUCAGAAGAGGCUGGAAAGAGGUUCUCUGUAAAACUUCCGGAGUGUCUGGAUGAAGGUGGAGGAUGAAGUCAAGGGGUCAGAGUCCAUCCUAAGAGAUGAGGCGAGAGAAGCAGAUGGUUGGAGUGAUGUAGCCGUGAGCCAAGGAAUGCAGGCAGCCUCCAGAAGCUGAAAAGGACACGGGAAGGAUUCUCCCGAUAGCACCCAGAAGGACUGCAGCCCUGCCGACACCUUGACUGUAGACUUCUGACGUCCAGAACUAUGAGUGUUAGGAGGAAGCAGAACCAACGUGUGAUUUGGCAAGACUUAGGAGGGAGCCAAAGACAGAGGGUGAAGGAGGACCCACAAUAGAACCACUGUUGCCCGUGUCUACCCACCCAUCCACUGGCCGUUCACCCAACGCCCAAUCACUGCCAGGCGCCGUGCCACUCUGGGCACAUCUGCCUAUCAAGAGGUGGUAAAACCAACAGGAUUUUCUAAGGAUUGGGUAGAAUGAAAGAAGAGCCGAAGUUGACCCCAAGGCUUCGUCCUGAGCACCUGCAGGAUCUUAGUUCCCUGACCAGGGAUGGAACCUGGGCCCCCAGCAGUGAAAGCACGGAGUCCUAACCACUGGAUCACCAGGGAAGUCCCCACAAUAGCUUUAAGAUAAGAUAGACCUGAAUUUGACUCCCAGAUGUGCUACUUCCUAGCCCUUUGACCCAGAU